rnacentral:rRNA from 1 species
AUUGAACGCUGGCGGCAGGCCUAACACAUGCAAGUCGAGCGAGUGGCGGACGGGUGAGUAAUGUAUGGGAAACUGCCUGAUGGAGGGGGAUAACUACUGAAAACGGUAGCUAAUACCGCAUACUAUCGGAUGCGCCCAUAUGGGAUUAGCUAGUAGGUGGGGUAAAGGCUCACUGAGUCGACGAUCUCUAGCUGGUCUGAGAGGAUGACCAGCCAAACUGGAACGGAGACACGGUCCAGACUCCUACGGGAGGCAGCAGUGGGGAAUAUUGCACAAUGGGCGCAAGCCUGAUGCAGCCAUGCCGAGUGUAUGAAGAAGGCCUUAGGGUUGUAAAGUACUUUCAGCGGGGAGGCGUGACCCGCAGAAGAAGCACCGGCUAACUCCGUGCCAGCAGCCGCGGUAAUUC